rnacentral:misc_RNA from 1 species
AAGUCGUAACAAGGUUUCCGUAGGUGAACCUGCGGAAGGAUCAUUAACAAAUUUUCCCAACCAAACACGUUUGUGAACUGUUAUCAAGUCCAUGGUGUGCACCGUCCUAGGCUGAGCGGGUGUUGGCGCGGUACUAUGCCGCGCCCUCUCCACCCACCUAGGCGGACCACCGUGUUUAUUUACGUCUGACUUACACCUGAACUGAGACUUUAUUUUAAAUAAAGACAACUUUUAGCAACGGAUCUCUAGGCUCUC